rnacentral:rRNA from 1 species
UACGUAGUGGGCAAGCGUUGUCCGGAUUUAUUGGGCGUAAAGAGCGUGUAGGCGGCUAGAUAGGUCCGUUGUGAAAACUGGAGGCUCAACCUCCAGCUGUCGAUGGAAACCAUCUAGCUAGAGUCCGGAAGAGGAGAGUGGAAUUCCGAGUGUAGAGGUGAAAUUCGUAGAUAUUCGGAAGAACACCAGUGGCGAAGGCGGCUCACUGGACUGGUAUUGACGCUGAGGUGCGAAAGCGUGGGGAGCAAACAGG